ensembl:lncRNA
CUUUGUUGAUCCUUAAGGUUUUUCAUUUUAAAUCUACUGUUACGCCAUUCAUCAACACCAUUCAAGGGGAGAAAACACAUUUGAAACAGUUUCCUCUUGCUACUGGUGUUCCGUCCGACUGUUAACCUGUCAUGUGUUGGAUCUCCAGCUCAGGCCUUCUGCCAGUGUCCCCGAGGAAGACCUGACAAGCUGUUUGACCAUCCAGCCCCUGCAGGCCACCGUCUCUGCUCCGGGCCACUCGCCUGGAGCGUCCAAUGAGCUACCUUCAUACCCCGCUUCUCUUCAGGAGCAAGAUCCCUCGGGGAUGUCUUGCAUGUCUCUGUUCUGCAAGGAAACGUACAGAUUUGUCGAUCCGUCCCCUCACCAGCAUGUCCCUGGAGGGCCCCAUCACCAUCCCCACCAUCCCCACCAGCACCUCAACCUCCAGCCCCGGGGGUCUUGUAGCGCCUCUUGCUGCCCUCCUACCCCCAGCCCACCACAGCAGAACAAGCAGCUCAGCCAUGCCGACCACAUUCCUCCAUCGAUGACUGAUCUAACAAACCCAGAGCUCUCCGGGCAGAUGGAGAUGCAUUACUCUCCCAUGGCCGGCGCUGGAAUGGCUGGGACACAGUCCACUGCGUGUCUCCUGAUGCCCAGCCAUGCCUACGGUGACGACCUGUCUUCCAUGCUGAACACCGUACACAGCCCGGCGGACAUCCCACGCAGACCUCAGGCCGCCAUCUCAGAAUUUGACGUCUACAUCCCAGGAUGUGAUUCCGGCCAUGCAUGAGGAACAGUAUAUCGAAUGCAGUGAAACGCUGCCCAAGUCAUCUGUCGUGCAUCUCUAUUAAAGCAUACUCCCUCCGGUGACGGGCUGUGCACUAUCGCUGCAGGUAACAGGUUCUUUCCGGCAGAAGCGAAAAUAAUGAAGCAGUUUAACUUGCUGCUUCUUACAGCACACACAGGGGUUAUGUGUUAGUGUCUGAUAUUCUGCAUAUUUCUCUGUGCUUUGAUAAACAUGAUUUGUUUUUCGUUGUUUAAUAUAGCGCUGAAUGUCGAUGUUUACUUUGAUUCCUUUUUUUUAAGAUUGUAUAACAUCGUUGUGUUGUAGUUUAUUAUGAGACUUUUGCACAUCAUUUCGAACAUGCGUUGGAACAAAAAAGCACAUAAGAGGUAAUUUAUUAAGUCAAAGUUUAAUUGUAACCAUAGUAACAAUAAACCCCUUUAACAUGCCACUUAAGUAUGCGUAGCUGUUGUAUUUCCAGACCUUGUUUGUUUCUGUGCCAAGAUCUAAACGAAAGAUUUCUACUGGUU